CUGGCCCUGCGGUGCGCGUGAUGUUCGGCCCAGUCUUGAGCCAACAGAACUAUGUAGGGAAUCGCCUUCAGCGGGGCAACCCGCCGAGAGGAUGGUACCCACCUGCGCAAGCAGGUUCAAGGCUCGGUCGCACACGGCACAGGCGGGGUUAGC
rnacentral:other from 1 species